AUUGAACGCUGGCGGCAGGCCUAACACAUGCAAGUCGAACGGUAGCACAGAGAGCUUGCUCUCGGGUGACGAGUGGCGGACGGGUGAGUAAUGUCUGGGAAACUGCCCGAUGGAGGGGGAUAACUACUGGAAACGGUAGCUAAUACCGCAUAACGUCUUCGGACCAAAGUGGGGGACCUUCGGGCCUCACACCAUCGGAUGUGCCCAGAUGGGAUGAGCUAGUAGGUGGGGUAAUGGCUCACCUAGGCGACGAUCCCUAGCUGGUCUGAGAGGAUGACCAGCCACACUGGAACUGAGACACGGUCCAGACUCCUACGGGAGGCAGUAGUGGGGAAUAUUGCACAAUGGGCGCAAGCCUGAUGCAGCCAUGCCGCGUGUAUGAAGAAGGCCUUCGGGUUGUAAAGUACUUUCAGCGGGGAGGAAGGCGUUAAGGUUAAUAACCUUGGCGAUUGACGUUACCCGCAGAAGAAGCACCGGCUAACUCCGUGCCAGCAGCCGCCGUAAAAC
rnacentral:rRNA from 1 species